rnacentral:rRNA from 1 species
AUGAGGACCAUGUGCUGGAACUGUCGAGGAAUUGGCAACCCUGCGACUGUUCGUGAGCUCCGCGAUCUUGUGGAGGCUAGUGCGCCAUCGGUACUGUGCAUUAUUGAAACUCAAUUGGCAAAGUAUCGAGUGGAAGGUUUGGCGGGUAGGUUAGAUUUCAGCAGUAGUUUUGGAGUAGGUAGUAGUGGAAUAAGUGGUGGUCUUUGCUUGUAUUGGAAGAAUAACAUCAAUCUUGAAAUAAAGAGUUUUUCUCAGUAUCAUAUUGACUCGGUGAUCUCCCAACCGGGGGAGGAACCUUGGCAAUUAUCUUGUUUUUAUGGGGCUGCAAACAGGAGCUUGAGAUACAAUACUUGGGAUAUGAUGAAGUUCCUGAGAGGGGAAAGCACACUCACUAUAAAAAAAGACACAUCCGUGACAUUUUGGGCCGAACGAAAAAAAUUUCUGUCAUACAUAUGA